UGGCGACCGGCGCACGGGUGCGUAACGCGUAUGCAACCUACCUGUAACAGGGGGAUAACACUGAGAAAUCGGUACUAAUACCGCAUAACACUAUGAGAGGCAUCUCUUGUGGUUGAAAGUUUCGGCGGUUACAGAUGGGCAUGCGUUGUGUUAGCUGGUUGGUAAGGUAACGGCUUACCAAGGCGACGAUACAUAGGGGGACUGAGAGGUUAACCCCCCACAUCGGUACUGAGACACGGACCAAACUCCUACGGGAGGCAGCAG
rnacentral:rRNA from 1 species